rnacentral:lncRNA from 1 species
UCAAAUUUAAGAUAAACUGAUGAAAAGCAGGCUUCAUAUAUUACAAAAAAAAUUGAAAAUAAAAAUGCAAAAACAAUAAAAAAUAUUAUAAUGAAAAAAGCUUGCUCCCUAUGAAAAUUGUGUACCCAAACCGAUGAAUUUAGCUACUAAACCAAAAUAAAGACUCUCACAGGUGAUCAUGUAAAUGUAUUUCUCUUAGACAUUUCAUCUAACACCUUUAGAUCACUCCUAAAUCUACACAUUUACCAUGGAAUAUCACAAAAGAGUCCAGAUUGAGAUCUUCGAAUACAACAAAAAAACCAACCCCUUUUUAUCGCUUGAGAUCUUCGAAUCUUAUAUGCAUCCAAGAUGCUCUCUAUAAAACAACAAUAUAAUAAGACAUAAGAACACGAAUACAACAAAAACAAAAACCAACCCCUUUUGCCUACUUACAAAACGUUGAUUAAUUGGAUAUGAAGAAAAAAAACAUCAUUCAAGGUUCUACUAAACGUUGAAACAAAGAUCCAAAAAAAUUAAUAUAAAUAGAAAAGAAGUGGGAGAGGGGAAGAGUUUAACCUAACUAUAAAAAAGUAAUGGCAAAUCUGCACAUCAAAACCAUUAUUUUGCGAUCAUCCAUUAAGAAAAAUUGAGCAGCGAGACAUAGAAAGAAAGAUACAAACGGUCGAAGGAGAAUUCUUAAGCGAGGAUACAUAUGAUGGGUUUUGAGCAUUCUAACACUUCCUAAGUGUACAUGCAACCCUAAUAACCUUGAAUCUAUGUUUUCUCUAUAUACAUGCAAAUUUCUUUUUCAAGGUUAUUUCCUAACUAGCAUGGCAUGGGGAAUAUAUGAAACAUAAAAACUAGUAGAAAUACAUACCUUGUUGUUGCUUGGAUUCCUUCAAGACUUUGUGAGCCUAGCACCCCAAAUGUUGUGCCUCAAAUGCUUCACACAACACCACAAAACUUGGAAUAACUUGAGAGAAUACUUCUAGCACUCAAAAUUGGUUAUGCCCUCUUUAGUAACCUUACUAGCACCGAUUUCACUAGCCAAAGGGUCCCUUUUAUAGUGGUGUCACAAUUAGGGUUUUCACAUGAAGACUCUUAAUUGUCAUGACUCUUCAUUUCUCAUGACCCAUGGGUUUGUAACUCCCAUGGACUAUCCAUGGAGCUCCAAAUGGUUACAUCCAUAACCCAUAAACCAUGGAUCAUUAAUCCACCAUAAAAGAAUUGAUGAUUGUCAUAAUCAACCCUAUAUAUUUAAUUAGUCUCACUUUGAUCACCAAAUUAAUACUAGAUUAAUACUUGAUCAAUACUAAUUAAAUAAUACUAUUAUUAAUAUAUUAGAACUUAUAAUAUAUUAAUAAUCAUAAGUGCCAUAUUCUCUCAUUUAGUCUAUCCAAGUAUUGCAAUGCCAUGCAACCCAAAUGGACCAUGCCGGGUCGGAUCAAGUACAUACCAAAUAAAGUUAUGGACUUAGACACUAUAUCCAACAGUCUCCCACUUGGAUAAGUCUAAUAACUAUAUUUGCAAAUAUGACUUCAAAAUCCGACUAGCAAUCGUAGCUCUUUCAAAGUCUCUCGGAACUGAGAUGAUGAUGAUACGCCAUUUAAGAUAAGUGAUCAUAUAAUCCUCUGCUCUCAUGAUAUCAGCCGGACAAACACAUGGAACAUGGUCUUACUUAUUGUCCAGCAUUUGUUUCUCGAUCUCCGAUUUGUUUCGACAUAGAACUAAAUUGAACACAUCAAUUAGGUUCUGACCGGGCCCGGUACAUAGGUCAAAACCAAAUCAUCGAGGGGCCCAGAUAUCGCUUCUAUUUCUAGAAGGAACAGAUAAACUUCGACUGAUAUGCUUGUACUAACUACUUGUUGAAUUACUCACAAAGGCACGUUUUAUAACAUCGAGUUACCAAUGCGUUUUCGUACAAUCAAUGAAUAACCAACUCAUAGUCAACAACUCAUAUCUCUAGGUUUGAAGAUUUAUAUGAUAUUACCGUCUCACGAUCACUCGAGAUAAAUUCCAUGAAGUGAUGCAAGUGAGCGUGGGUUGAAUCCAAUACUCAGCCCUUAUGAGUACUCAUGAAUGUUGUAGCAACCAUUGCAUUGUCUAAAGCACUUUAGACAAAUCAUACAAGCCAGAUUCAUGACAGUCUUGAAUCAAUACUUACUUCCAAAGUUUGACCGACUGUGGAUGGUUUGAAUAAUAUGAUAUAUACCAUAACAUAAUUAUUCUGGAAGUAAAAACAUGCAAAAUUGAAACAUAGUAAACAAUCAACACAAGAUAGUAACACCUUACUCAUAAAUAAAUAACAACUUUUAUUUAUCAUCAAAUGUCAAUUACAUUUUACAAGUUUCAGGAAUCUAAUUAUUGAAACUAAUAUCAUCCUUCAGCCCAAUGCGCCUUGCAUGCUGUAAAUGCUUAACCCUGCUCAGUCCCUUCGUGAGGGGAUCUGCCGGGUUCUCAUCUGAUGAUACCCUCUUUGCCACGAGGAGUCCUUCUUCUAUUCUAUGUCUGAUGAAAUGGUAUUUUCUGUCAAUGUGCCUAGAUCUCCCGUGAUCUCUUGGUUCUUUAGCCAAAGCAACCGCACUUUCACUGUCACAGAAAAUUUCCAUUGGCUCCUUUAUAGCUGGUACAACUCCAAGGUCUCCGAUGAAGUUCUUUAGCCAUAUCGCCUCUUUUGCUGCCUCGCUUGCUGCUAUGUACUCUGAUUCACAAGUCGAAUCAGCUACUGUCUCCUGCUUGGAACUUUUCCAAGUAAUUGCUCCUCCAUUUAGGAUAAAGACCCAGCCUGACUGAGAGCGGAAAUUAUCCCUAUCAGUUUGAAAGCUAGCAUCACUAUAUCCUUCCACUCUCAAGUCAUCACUGCCUCCGAGGGUAAGGACCCAGUCCUUAGUCCUCCGCAAAUACUUGAGAAUGUUCUUUACCGCUGUCCAGUGUGCCUUGCCAGGGUUCCCUUGAUAUCUACUGACCAUGCUCAAAGCAAAGGCCACAUCAGGGCGAGUACAAGUCAUAGCAUACAUGAUCGAGCCCACAGCGGAAGCAUAUGGUAUCUGACUCAUUUCAGCUAUCUCAGCCUCUGUACUCGGACUCUGAGUCUUACUUAGCUUGGCAUUACUCUGGAUUGGUAAUUCUCCUUUCUUGGAAUCUUGCAUACUGAACCUCUUCAGUAUCUUAUCCACAUAAGUACUUUGACUAAGUCCAAUUAGUCUCUUACUCCUAUCUCUCAAUAUCCUUAUCCCUAGGAUAUAGGCAGCUUCCCCAAGGUCCUUCAUAGCAAAACACUUCCCAAGCCAGGCCUUAACCUCCUGCAAAGUUGGGAUGUCGUUUCCUAUGAGAAGUAUGUCAUCCACAUACAACACCAAGAAGCUAACUAUGCUCCCACUAGCCCUGACAUACACACAAGACUCAUCCUCACUCCUAGAAAAGCCAAACUCUUUGACUUUCUCAUCAAAGCAAAGAUUCCACCUGCGAGAUGCUUGUUUCAAUCCAUAAAUGGAUUUUUCAAGCUUACACACUCUAUUAGGGUAUUUUGGAUCGACAAAACCCUCUGGCUGAGCCAUGUAAACAUCCUCAGCCAACUUCCCAUUAAGGAAAGCGGUUUUGACAUCCAUUUGCCAUAUUUCAUAGUCAUGAAAUGCAGCUAUGGCUAACAACACUCUAAUAGACUUAAUCUUAGCUACUGGUGAGAAGGUCUCAUCAUAGUCAACUCCCGGAGUUUGAGUAAAGCCCUUCGCAACCAGUCGCGCUUUAUAAGUGUGUACUUUCCCAUCCAUGUCGGUCUUCUUCUUGAAGAUCCAUUUGCACCCAACUGUCUUACGACCUGGUACAUUGUCAACCAAGUUCCAAACUUGAUUGUCAUACAUGGACUGAAUCUCGCUGUCCAUAGCCUCCUUCCAUUUCGCAGACUCAGGGCCUGCCAUGGCUUCCUUAUAAUUAUUAGGUUCAUCCAAAUCUAUCAGUGUACUAUCACUGAUAAAUGUAUCACCUUCAGUGGUGAUGUGAUAACCAUAAUAAAAUUCAGGUGUGUUCCUCACCCUAGUGGAACGUCUUGGAGGUACAGACUCAUCUAUCGGCUCAACAGGAGUUUCCUCCUCAGGUUGGCUGACAGCAUUUGAGGUUCCUUCACCACUUGACUCUUGAAGCUCUUCAAGGUCAAUUUGCCUCCCACUGUCCCCUUGGCUUAUGAAUUCUCUCUCACGAAAGACUCCUCUUCUUGCUACAAAGACCACAUUGUCACUGGGUCUGUAGAAGAGGUAACCAAAGGAUCUCUGUGGGUAGCCGAUGAAAAUACACCUCUCGCUUCGGGGCUCAAGCUUGUCAUGAGUCUCACGCCUCACAAAAGCUUCACAACCCCAAAUCUUGAUGUGGUCCAAAUUGGGCACUUUCCCAGUCCACAUCUCGUGAGGUGUUUUGGCAACCUUUUUAGUAGGGACUAGAUUAAGGAUAUGGGCGGCAGUCUCUAAGGCAUACCCCCAGAAAGAGAUUGGUAACGAAGCUCGACUCAUCAUGGAACGAACCAUAUCCAACAGGGUUCGAUUGCGCCUCUCAGCUACACCAUUCAACUGUGGUGUCCUGGGAGGUGUCAAUUGUGAGACAAUCCCACAUUCCUUAAGAUAGUCAAGGAACUCAAUGCUAAGAUACUCUCCUCCCCGAUCGGAUCGGAGCAUCUUGAUGUUCCUGCCCAAUUGAUUCUCAACUUCCUGCUUAAACUCUUUGAACUUUUCAAAGGUUUCUGACUUAUGCUUGAUUAAGUAAAUAUAUCCAUAUCUACUGUAAUCAUCAGUAAAAGUCACAUAAUAACGAUUAGCAUCCCUUGUAGCAACUCUGAAGGGCCCACACACAUCCGUGUGUACAAGGUCCAACAAACCUUCACCCCUAUCACAAGUACCUGUGAAGGGUGACUUUGUCAUUUUUCCAAGUAAACAAGACUCGCAACUAUCAUCUGACUUGAGGUCAAAUGAUUCCAAGACUCCAGCCUUUUGGAGUUGGCCUAUGCGCUUCUUGUUAACAUGUCCAAGACGACAAUGCCACAAGGAUGCUUUAUCCAAGCUAUCAGAAGAAUCAAUAUACAACACAUUAUUUCCUAAAUUGUCUACAACAUUCACAGCUUCAUAUACACCAUCACAAGGUAUUGCUUUAAAGUAAAAUACAUCAUUGUAAUAAACAUUAAUAGCACCAUUUUUAUUAUCAAAUGAAAAUGUAAAACCUUGUUUGUACAAGCCAUGAAAAGAAAUAAUAUUUCUCGCCAUUUCGGGCGAGUAACAACACUUAUUCAAAUCUAACAUUAACCCAUUAUUAAGCAAUAAAGAAUAAACUCCUAUCUUGGUAACAGGUGAUGCUUUCCUGUUGCCCAUGACUAAGUUUAUCUUCCCGUGCUCCACUUGCUCACUUCUUCUUAGUGCCUGCAAAUCAGUACAAAUGUGAAUACCACACCCUGUAUCAAGCACCCAAGAAUUAGCAUUAGAUGAGUUGUUAGACAAUAUUGUGUAAAUACCUGCAUGGGUGGGUUUAACCUUCCCAUCCUUUACAUCUUGCAGAUAUUUGGCGCAGCUUCGCUUGAAGUGUCCCUUAUCUUGGCAAUAGAAGCACUGUGCUUCCUUUGGGUUCGAAGAAGGAGUAAUGGGACCUUUCUUUGUCCCACUUGAAGAGGAACCAUCAAGAGUCUUACCCUUGGUACCCUUUGAAGGGCUUUUCCUCUUCUUACCCUUCCCUUGCCCAAUUGCAAGAACAGGGGCUGUUAAAGGAGUAGAAGUAGCAACCGCUUUACCCUUAAGGCCAUUUUCAGCUGUCCUUAAGAGUCCUUGAAGUUUGCUAAGUGUGACUUCCUCCUUGUUCAUAUGAUAAGUCAUACGAAACUGAUCAUAACUUGGAGGUAAGGAAUGGAGAAUGAUGUCAAUCGCCAAUUCCUCAGGGAAGUCAACAUUGAGCUUUAGCAACCGGUCAACGAACCUCUGCAUCUUCUGCAAGUGACCGGUGAUGGGUUCACCAUCCUUCAUCCUUGCGGUUAUCAUGGAGGAAAUGAUUUCAUACCUCUCUUGACGCGCGCUCUGAUGGUACCUUUCCAUCAGAUCUAGGUGCAUCUCAUAGGGGUAGAAAUCUUCAUAAGAUUUUUGGAGUUCCGGAGUCAUUGUGGCCAUCAUGAUGCAGGACACCUUGGUGGCAUCCUUCUCAUGCGCAAUGAACUCCGCAAGCUCUUCUGGAGUAGCAGUGGCUUCAUUAACAACCUUAAGCUCCCUAUCAAGGACAUAUUCUUUGUCCUCAUAGCGGGUAAUCAUCCUGAUGUUUCUGAUCCACUCAUUAAAGUUGGAUCCAUCAAAGAUGACCUUACCACACAAGUUCAUUAGGGAAAAGGAGCCUGUAGGGUUUGAGCCAGCAGCGUUAUUGGAAGACAUCUGGAAUAGAAGGAAGAUAAGUUUCAUUAGAUUAAGAGUCCUUAAUAAGUCACCCAAAUGAAAUAUUAAGGCUAGGAUCCAACAAACUAUUUAUAGGUGGAAGAGGGAUGCCGUAAUCCACACUAUAAAAUAUUUGAAGGUAGGUAAAUGACGAUUUACCAAUUUCCACCAUUAGAACGAAAUAUUUUAUUAUUAGGUUUUAUUGGUUUUGAAACUCCUAGAUCUUUUGAGAUACAUUGAACUUUUCAAUGGCAUGUUUGAAUCUCGAAUGUGCCCUCUCAAGUUUGUGACUGGGAUGCCGAGGAUCACAAACAAGGUGUGAAUAACCAUACAAAUUGACUUGGUACCCUUAACAAUAUUACCUAAUCGAUGUGCCGGUUAACCACACACGCUCCACCGAUCUAUAAUAAAGUCAAGUUACCCUUUGCCACUCUUACUAGUCCAUGUUAGUGUGCCGGUUAACCACACACGCUCCACUAACGACUUGGUAAGGUACAAAGUGUAAUUUUAUGGGCUAGCACCAAUUUCACAUUUUCCUAAAGUAACUAAGAUUGGGAAUUUAUAAUGUAUAGUUACUUUAUAAUUCAUUAUACUUUUAAUGAGAAUUUAAAGUCAUAUCCUACCCGUUCGGCUAACGACCCUCCACCGAUCAAGGAAGCGGUGGGUGAGAGUGGACACCCAUUAAGUCACCAUUUUAUAGGCAACAACCUUAUACCCCCCUUAUAGACCGGCUUCGUGAAUGAGGCCUACUAACGGUAAGAACGACAUAUUCUUAUACAUAUCUAUAUAAUAAAAUUAUAAUAAUAGUAUAAGUGUUGAUUUUUAAACUUUUUAAAAAUCUAAGGUUUAAUUUGGAAUUAAAGUAUUAGAGUGUAAGACUUUUCAAAUUCCAAAACUUGAGGGCAAGAAUUGAAACUAUUCCAAGUCUCUUCAAUUUGUAACUUAUGAGUUUUAAUGGUUCAUAAAAAUGAAGACUCUUCAUUUUAUGAAACCUCUUUAGUUCUUUAAUCACAAUUAAAAGAAGUGACUUUUGGUUAUCCAUAACUUGAGGACAAGUUAUGGACACCAUCAAUACAAUUAAGAUCAAGAAUUAAACACACAUGGUGGUUACACAUAAUUCCUAUGAUCUUCUAAAAACUCAUAAGAACACAAAUUCAUGUCAAGCAAUUUCAAGAAAUCAUAUGAACAUAUAUAAUACUUUGAAAUUGUUAAAAGUCAUGUAAAAUGGAUUAACAUAAUCAUUAUCAUUUUGAAAAACAGAUUUUACAAGUCCAAAACAGAUUGGGAUAAUGAUUCUAAUCCAUUUCCAGCAACAAAACACGAAAAGACUGCCCAGCACGCACCUACUCGUCGAGUGCAUGAUCCUACUCGACGAGUAGGAUGAAUUUGUACAUGGACUCGGCGAGUCCUCCCCAUGAACUCGGCGAGUCCAGUCGACAGUGAGCAGAAUUUUCGAUUUUCAAGCAGUUUUGCAUCAAGUAUACAGAAAACAAUCCUAGGCUCUGAUACCACUGAUGGGUUUUGAGCAUUCUAACACUUCCUAAGUGUACAUGCAACCCUAAUAACCUUGAAUCUAUGUUUUCUCUAUAUACAUGCAAAUUUCUUUUUCAAGGUUAUAUCCUAACUAGCAUGGCAUGGGGAUUACAUAAAAUAUAAAACUAGUAGAAAUACAUACCUUGUUGUUGCUUGGAUUCCUUCAAGACUUUGUGAGCCUAGCACCCCAAAUGUUGUGCCUCAAAUGCUUCACACAACACCACAAAACUUGGAAUAACUUGAGAGAAUACUUCUAGC